ACUGGUCUGGGCCGGCAUUUAAACCGGUACUUAGCACCCCGAUCUGUGAUCUGUGAUUACGCAAGUGCAAGUGCGGUGCAAGCGGCGAACACGAAAACAUCACCUUAACUCACCCGAGAUCGCCCGAGAUCACAACUUACGCACAUCACACAUACGCCGCGUUGUACGCAAGCGAAAAUGAAAAUGAAAACGAAAAUGAAAACAUCGGAAAAACGACGCACAACUGAAAUUCUAGAUCAAGGCCACGCCCGGCUAGGCCCAUAAAUAUAAAUCCACAUCGCCACAUCAAUGUACGUUUGGCACACGCAAAAUGCGUAAACUAGUUUGUUUGGCUCCAGGAGAUCCAUGGAGCGGGAGGAUUACUGGUGGCAACUCGCCCAGUCGCCAAGGAAGCAGUGCGUCGUCGAACACAACGAACACGAUAAAUUGUCAGGCGAAUGCAUUUUGUCACAUUUGGUUAUUUUGCAUUUGUAAAUUACAAGACAAAACACUUAGCAGUCGCCCAAGAAAUUUGGGUUGCAACGCCACGGCACCCAAUUACACAUGAAAAUGUAUCUGACUUUUUUGCUUGUAGAGCGUGGAGCCGAAUGUGGAGCACUUUUGCUUACUUAAUUUAUUUAUUAACGCUGGGAAUAACAGUAGCU
ensembl:ncRNA lncRNA:CR44322 long non-coding RNA:CR44322